CGAGACCUUCGGGUCUAGUGGCGCACGGGUGCGUAACGCGUGGGAACCUGCCUUUAGGUUCGGAAUAACUCAGAGAAAUUUGAGCUAAUACCGGAUAAUGUCUUCGGACCAAAGAUUUAUCGCCUUUAGAUGGGCCCGCGUUGGAUUAGCUAGUUGGUGGGGUAAAGGCCUACCAAGGCGACGAUCCAUAGCUGGUCUGAGAGGAUGAUCAGCCACACUGGGACUGAGACACGGCCCAGACUCCUACGGGAGGCAGCAGUGGGGAAUAUUGGACAAUGGGCGAAAGCCUGAUCCAGCAAUGCCGCGUGAGUGAUGAAGGCCUUAGGGUUGUAAAGCUCUUUUACCCGAGAUGAUAAUGACAGUAUCGGGAGAAUAAGCUCCGGCUAACUCCGUGCCAGCAGCCGCGGUAAUACGGAGGGAGCUAGCGUUGUUCGGAAUUACUGGGCGUAAAGCGCACGUAGGCGGCUUUUUAAGUCAGGGGUGAAAUCCCGGGGCUCAACCCCGG
rnacentral:rRNA from 1 species